AUGUACUCGGGCAUUGAGGAUUCCACUCGGAUCCACCCGGAGGAGGUCGACGAGAGCACGGUGGAGCAGUGGCUGAGAGGCAUCACUGGCAACAAGGAUAACCCCAGGGGGUCCAGGAGGGUUGCUCCAUUCGACCAUUCACACCAGCCAGACCAGGCUCUUAUCGAGAUGUAUUUAGUGCCCAACGGAGAGCAGGAGCAAGAUCCGGAGGGGGAGGCGAGCGGAGGCGAGAGUGGCGAGUGGCACUCGGACGAAGAGGAGGGCGAAGAGAGCAGCGACCCGAGUGAUGAAGAAGAGGUCGACUCGCCUCCUCGUACAGAAAGAAGGUCCAAGCACACUCACAACCCGGCAAGCAUCCCUGACCCGGUGGCCGCACCGACUAGGUAG
rnacentral:rRNA from 1 species